UGCCAUUCAUGUCAUUAAUGGCAUCAAUUGCUGAUCGAGGAUUUGUAAAGGUAACAAAGCCAUAGCAUUUUCCCCCAACGCCCCGCUCAUUAAUAAUCUGUUCACACAUGAUAUGUUUAAGAAACUAAACGUCAAAAAAAUGGAACCAUAAAACCAGCAGUCAAGUAAGUUCAAACAUGUGGACAAAUCAGUGGCUCAGAACAUUUAGACAGCAAAUUGAGGAUGACAAAUAGAGACAAAUGGAGAAAGAUUAGUUGAAGGGGAAGAACAUGCCAAUGGCACAUCAAAUCACAAUGUGUAAUGGAGGGAUGCCACAAUGAGAGACCUAUAAAUAUGACUUCCAAACGGAAAGAAGAGGACUCUUUCUCCACACCUGAACUGUCAAGAACAUUCCUACAGUAGUUUAUAACAUUCCUAAAGUAGUUUAUCUCAAUACAACUGUUCUUGCAUUUCAAUUCACUCAUCAAUAUCUGUGGUGUUGUCUCAGAAACCACAGGCUAUUCUUCAUAAUUUGGUGUCUCUUUAAUGUGAUUUUGCAUUUGCCCUGUUACGUUCUCCUAAAAAGCCAAAACCAUCCAUUAAAUCUUUGUUGCUUAAUCGCUAAAAAAAUAAAAAAUAAAUAAAUAAUUUAAACUUUUUUUUAAAAUUAAAAAUUUGAGUUCAUUUUCUCAUUUCUUCAAUUAAUUUGUCACUUUUAUCCUCUAUUAGCUUACAGCAGUGGGCUUCGUUUUACUUAAUUAAUCUUAUUCCAAAACGCUCCACCUUGGUGGAAUUGGCACAACGGCCAAUUAAGUUGAUGGCCUGGAAAAUUAUUAACUCCACCCAGCAAGAGACAAACGGAAAAAGAUCUAGGUGAAGAAUGUCCCUGACUUCCCCAUACUUUAACCAUUUUAAAGUCAGAGGAUCGCAUUCCAACCCCUUUGCACAGGUUAGGCUAAGAUCAGAUCAUCCAUGGACCAGGUCGAUUGAGCUGAAAGCUCUGGCACGCCCAGCAUGCAAUUGAAAUUUGAUACCCAGACUGAGCCCCUGUGUUGGGAGCUGAAGUUGAUUAUUGAGCCAAAACCUCAACAUAAAUACCCAUUACUUAAGCUACAUUUGUUUGCAUGCAAUUGGAUGGAGGUUCCAGUUCUGAAUCCACAGGAGGCUAGUUUGAAAUUGACCUUCCAGUCCAUAGACCCAAAUGCACAGGAAACACUUUCAAAAUGAAAAAACACUAAUUUCAAACUAAACCUAAACAGGAAGCCCUAUCUCUUUGGUAGUACCAAGAACAAGCCACAGAACAAACAGGACGAAGAAAUCAAAUUCCAUAUCAUUUAUCAAAUCUUUUCAGGUUGGAAGGAUUAGGUUAUAAAGAAAUGGUUGUUAUUAAUGCACCCCUACUAGAACGUAGAAAGAUUCCUUUGUUUCCAAGGAAAAUGAAAGGAAAAUUUGAUGGUAAAGAAAAAAAAAAGAAAAAGAAACCCUAGAGAAGAAAGAGAAACCUUAACAGCGACGAUGGCACCGUACAAAUUGAAGACCUUGCGGAUGCUGUCCUCGGUGGCAUUGUAAGGGAGUCCGCCCACGUAUAUGGAGUUGUCGUCGUCGAUCGUCAUUUCUCCG
rnacentral:lncRNA from 1 species